rnacentral:misc_RNA from 1 species
ACAAGUUCAUCUUAUAAACCCAAACACAUUUAUUAUUAAAUGGCAAAAAGGAUAUUAAAUGAGAUUUAUGAUGAAAUUUUGAAAAUUAAAUGAGGAUAAACUAGCUUAUAAGCACCCCAACUUUUUUUUUUUUAACAUACAAGCUCAUCUUCUAAACCCAAAAAUUUGUCUUUAGAGCUUAUAAGCUGAGCUAUAAACUAAGACAAACUCCCUCUUAAAAG